rnacentral:rRNA from 1 species
GGGAAUAUUGCGCAAUGGGGGAAACCCUGACGCAGCAACGCCGCGUGGAGGAUGACACUUUUCGGAGCGUAAACUCCUUUUCUUAGGGAAGAAUUCUGACGGUACCUAAGGAAUAAGCACCGGCUAACUCCGUGCCAGCAGCCGCGGUAAUACGGAGGGUGCAAGCGUUACUCGGAAUCACUGGGCGUAAAGGGCGCGUAGGCGGAUUAUCAAGUCUCUUGUGAAAUCUAAUGGCUUAACCAUUAAACUGCUUGGGAAACUGAUAGUCUAGAGUGAGGGAGAGGCAGAUGGAAUUGGUGGUGUAGGGGUAAAAUCCGUAGAUAUCACCAAGAAUACCCAUUGCGAAGGCGAUCUGCUGGAACUCAACUGACGCUAAGGCGCGAAAGCGUGGGGAGCAAACAGGAUUAGAUACCCUGGUAGUCCACGCCCUAAACGAUGUACACUAGUUGUUGGGAUGCUAGUCAUCUCAGUAAUGCAGCUAACGCAUUAAGUGUACCGCCUGGGGAGUACGGUCGCAAGAUUAAAACUCAAAGGAAUAGACGGGGACCCGCACAAGCGGUGGAGCAUGUGGUUUAAUUCGAAGAUACGCGAAGAACCUUACCUGGGCUUGAUAUCCUAAGAACCUUAUAGAGAUAUGAGGGUGCUAGCUUGCUAGAACUUAGAGACAGGUGCUGCACGGCUGUCGUCAGCUCGUGUCGUGAGAUGUUGGGUUAAGUCCCGCAACGAGCGCAACCCACGUAUUUAGUUGCUAACGGUUCGGCCGAGCACUCUAAAUAGACUGCCUUCGUAAGGAGGAGGAAGGUGUGGACGACGUCAAGUCAUCAUGGCCCUUAUGCCCAGGGCGACACACGUGCUACAAUGGCAUAUACAAUGAGACGCAAUACCGCGAGGUGGAGCAAAUCUAUAAAAUAUGUCCCAGUUCGGAUUGUUCUCUGCAACUCGAGAGCAUGAAGCCGGAAUCGCUAGUAAUCGUAGAUCAGCCAUGCUACGGUGAAUACGUUCCCGGGUCUUGUACUCACCGCCCGUCACACCAUGGGAGUUGAUUUCACUCGAAGCCGGAAUACUAAACUAGUUACCGUCCACAGUGGAAUCAGCGACUGGGGUGAAGUCGUAACAAGGUAACCGUAGGAGAACCUGCGGUUGGAUCACCUCCUUUCUA